CCUACGGGAGGCUGCAGUCGAGAAUUAUUCACAAUGGUGGAAACCCUGAUGGUGCGACGCCGCGUGGGGGAGUGAAGGACAUAGUAUUGUAAACCCCUGUCAUCUGGGAGCAAAUACAAAAGAUCGUACCACAAGAGGAAGAGACGGCUAACUCUGUGCGAGCAGCCGCGGUAAUACAGCGGUCUCAAGCGUUGUUCGGAAUCACUGGGCGUAAAGCGUGCGUUGGCUGGUUCGUAAGUCGGGUGUGAAAGGCGCGGGCUCAACCCGCGGACGGCACAUGAUACUGCGAGACUAGAGUGAUGGAGGGGGAACCGGAAUUCGCGGUGUAGCAGUGAAAUGCGUAGAUAUCGAGAGGAACACUCGUGGCGAAGGCGGGUUCCUGGACAUUAACUGACGCUGAGGCACGAAGGCCAGGGGAGCGAAAGGGAUUAGAUACCCCUGUAGUC
rnacentral:rRNA from 1 species